GCAAGGUACAAUGUUCUUACAGAUUGUAUUUUAUCUCUUGGUUUUGAGCUCCGCUUUUUGCCAGGUUGUGAUCAACGUUGAUCAAUGAGGCAGAAAUGAACAGGUCGUCGUGACAAACACAAAAAACAUGUUGCUGUGAAAAUUUGAAGGAUAUUGUUGAAAAUGGGACGAGGUCUGUGCUGGACGAGUACAUCGCCAGGACGCAGUAUACGGCCAGUCCUACACCUUCUUCUUCUCCCGUGACAUUUCCAGGUCAAGGCGUAUUGGAGCAGGGAGCAGGCGGGUGUCUGCUUCAGACUUCUAUAAAACAUGGGAUGAGUACAAACAUGGCUUUGGAGACUUAGAUGGCAAUUUUUGGCUCGGCAAUGACAAAAUUGUCUCCUUAUGUAACGACGAGCAAUUUGAGUUGAGGAUUGACAUGGAGUUGGGCGACGAUACUCGCUAUGCACAGUACAGCAGUUUUUCGGUAGAAGAUGAAUCACAAAACUACAGGCUUCACGUGAUGGAUUCAGUGGUACUGCAAGGGAUAGUCUGGCGUUUCACGAUAACUAUGAGUUUUCAACAAACGACCGAGACAACGAUGCUAGUGAGAGAAACUGUGCAGAGAUAUCUUCGGGAGCAUGGUGGUAUAAAGGAUACUAUAAGUCAAAUCUUAACGGGUUGUACGGAAGUAACGUAACUACCAAAGGAAUUAAGUGGAUCACCUGGCCUGAAAGCAUACAUUAUCUUUCAAUGACUGAAAUGAAAAUUCGACGGGCACCACAUAACUAAAAGGUAGUUUGAUCGUCAACAAUGACAAGGCGCUUGAAGAUCGAAUAGGAAGCUAAAUGUAUCAAAUAUAUCGAGUAUUCAAGAUAUACUUAAUAUCCAUUAAUUGGUGUUAAUCAUUCGAAUUGUAAAAUCUUAAUAUGUCAAAAAUAGACUAGCGGACAAUAAUAAACUCUGAUUGGUAACAAUGAUUUAAAGAUAUUACUUUUACAAAUACAAUUGCGUGUUAUUUGAUUUUUGUUUAUCAUAAUUUCAAUUAUUCAUAGUGGUACUAUGUGUGUAGGUGCUUACUAUCUGAACCAUUUAGCAAAAAAGGGGGAAAAAGGGAAAAAUAAAGUUGUACAGUGCAAAAGUGCAAAAUAUAUCCUCCAUGUGUGAGGACCUUAUCAUUCUUUUAAAGAAGUAGUGCAUUUUUAUUUGCAGACAUAUCUUGUGCAUAAAUGUAAAGCUCCUAUAACACCAACAACAUUAUAAUUGUGAAUGUAAAACACAUGUUUGAAAACUUGUAUUAUUAAGCUUAUGUCAGUUUAAAUGAAUGUACUUAAUAUGUUCACGCUUUUAAUAAAUAUAUUUUAACAUA